AUUUGUGUUCCAACCUUUUCCAGGAGUUGGCAGUUUUAUUAUUACUAUCACUAUCCUACGGAUAUGGUUUUUCUCUGCCUUCUUCACUCUUCACACCCUCCCUUUACAAGGAGAUACAGAAAUAAUAUGGCCCAAGGUUUUUCUUCUAGGCAGGGAUGAAUCCCAAGAGCCAGCUCCGUGCCAGACACAAAGCACUAUUGGCUGUGUGUUAAGGCCAAGAUUUGCCUCAUGGUUGGGAGCUCCAUUCUCUAGAUGUGACCUCACAGUUCAUGAAAUUAGAAAUGGGGGCUAAUUAUAUAAUUUAAAGAAGUUCCCGACCAUCACCCAUGUCCAGGAAAGGUACUGAAUGUCUACUAAGGUCUUCUGAACACCAAGAAUUCCUGUUCAACCAGAUGGAUAGUUUGCAUUCUCCUGGAUCUUGGCCUCCUCGCAAGCUGUGAAGGCACUGAAGUCACAGUGAUAAAGUGGCUUGCUCAAGGAGUUCCAGGUGACCUUUCAAACUAAGAACAAAAAGGAGAGAAGACGGCUGAAGAUGAACGAUGCACUUCUGCCAUUCAUAGAGCCAGAGUUACAGUAGGGAAGGACAGGAUCGUCCUUCCUGCGUUUCCGUGUUCAUGACUACAGUGCUACCAACUGCACAUCGUUUCUGACUGACAGCAUGAGUAGGAGUAACAGGGUUAUUUUAUUUCCUAAAUCAUCCUAUUGAGGAAAACAGAAAAUGUGUCACUCCUUAUUUUAAAGUUUGACUAAAAUCUCUGAUAAAUCUUUGAUUAAACUCUCAGCACUAAACAGGCAUGGACCAGAAGCACACCGAAGGAUGUUAAACACGUAUGUUGACUUAAGAGUGGACUGAAGCACAUUGAGGUGAAAUGAACUAUGAUUUAGACUUAAGUAUGGUUUAUUUUAAAGCAACAAGAAACGUCACUUACGUAUAGAGAGGGAUGUAUUUAGUCCUAGAACUUGGACUCACACUGAGAAAAAGAAAAAAAUAGGCAAUUGAGUUAUUGAUAUUUUAAAUAAAUAUCAAAUUACUAUAACAAGUCUCAAAUUAAAAGAUCUUGAGAGAUGUGGAAA